rnacentral:rRNA from 1 species
AAAUUUAAAUGUAGUUUUUAUAAAAAUUAAUAAAAUUUUCUUUAUAUAAUUAUAUAUAAAUUAUUUAUUUAUAGAAGAAAUAUUUAUUUAUUUAUUAAAAUUAAAAUAGAUGUUUUAUAAAAAAUUUGGCUAAACUUGUGCCAGCCGCCGCGGUUAUACAAGUAAGUUUAUUUUUAUAAAUUAUAUUAAUAAAAAUAAAUUUGUAGAAUAAGUAAAAAUUUAAUAAGGUGAAAUUUAUAAAUUUUAUGAAUAUUAAAAUUGAUUUUGAAAAAAUUUUAAUUUAAACUAGGAUUAGAUACCCUAUUAUUUAAAGCUUAAUAUUGUUAGUAAGUAAAAUUUAUGAAAUCAUAAAAUUUUGGCGGUAUUUUAAGCUUUUUAGAGGAAUUUGCUCUGUAAUGGAUAAAACACCUAAAUCUUACUUAAUUUAGUUAAAUCAAUUUGUAUACC